rnacentral:rRNA from 1 species
CGCUAUCACUCCUACGGGAGGCAGCAGUAGGGAAUCUUCCACAAUGGGCGCAAGCCUGAUGGAGCAACACCGCGUGAGUGAAGAAGGGUUUCGGCUCGUAAAGCUCUGUUGUUAAAGAAGAACACGUAUGAGAGUAACUGUUCAUACGUUGACGGUAUUUAACCAGAAAGUCACGGCUAACUACGUGCCAGCAGCCGCGGUAAUACGUAGGUGGCAAGCGUUAUCCGGAUUUAUUGGGCGUAAAGAGAGUGCAGGCGGUUUUCUAAGUCUGAUGUGAAAGCCUUCGGCUUAACCGGAGAAGUGCAUCGGAAACUGGAUAACUUGAGUGCAGAAGAGGGUAGUGGAACUCCAUGUGUAGCGGUGGAAUGCGUAGAUAUAUGGAGGAACACCAGUGGCGAAGGCGGCUCACUGGCUCGAUACUGACGCUGAGGUGCGAAAGUGUGGGGAGCAAACAGGAUUAGAUACCCUGGUAG